GUGGGGAAUAUUGGACAAUGGGCGCAAGCCUGAUCCAGCCAUGCCGCGUGAGUGAUGAAGGCCUUAGGGUUGUAAAGCUCUUUUGUCCGGGAAGAUAAUGACUGUACCGGAAGAAUAAGCCCCGGCUAACUUCGUGCCAGCAGCCGCGGUAAUACGAAGGGGGCUAGCGUUGCUCGGAAUCACUGGGCGUAAAGGGCGCGUAGGCGGACUCUUAAGUCGGGGGUGAAAGCCCAGGGCUCAACCCUGGAAUUGCCUUCGAUACUGGGAGUCUUGAGUUCGGAAGAGGUUGGUGGAACUGCGAGUGUAGAGGUGAAAUUCGUAGAUAUUCGCAAGAACACCGGUGGCGAAGGCGGCCAACUGGUCCGAUACUGACGCUGAGGCGCGAAAGCGUGGGGAGCAAACA
rnacentral:rRNA from 1 species